rnacentral:rRNA from 1 species
CUUCGGUGUGAGUAGAGCGGCGGACGGGUGAGUAAUGCUUGGGAAUCUACCUAGUAGUGGGGGAUAACGUGUGGAAACGCACGCUAAUACCGCGUACGUCCUACGGGAGAAAGCAGGGGACCUUCGGGCCUUGCGCUAUUAGAUGAGCCCAAGUCGGAUUAGCUAGUUGGUAGGGUAAUGGCUUACCAAGGCGACGAUCCGUAGCUGGUCUGAGAGGAUGAUCAGCCACACUGGGACUGAGACACGGCCCAGACUCCUACGGGAGGCAGCAGUGGGGAAUAUUGCACAAUGGGCGAAAGCCUGAUGCAGCCAUGCCGCGUGUGUGAAGAAGGCUCUAGGGUUGUAAAGCACUUUCAGUAGGGAGGAAAAGUAUGUAGUUAAUAGCUGCAUACCCUGACGUUACCUACAGAAGAAGCACCGGCAAACUCCGUGCCAGCAGCCGCGGUAAUACGGAGGGUGCGAGCGUUAAUCGGAAUUACUGGGCGUAAAGCGCGCGUAGGUGGUUUGAUAAGCUAGCUGUGAAAGCCCUGGGCUCAACCUAG